rnacentral:rRNA from 1 species
UUGAUAUAUUUAUUUAAAUAGUCCAAAAAAUUGAAGUGAAGUUAGUGCUUUCACCCGGUUCUAUCAAACUAAACUAGUUUAAGUGCUUAACCUCUCCUUGCUCAUGUAAUCCCUGGGCGAGCAAGAAAUAACAGGACGAACUGAAACAUCUUAGUGGCUAGAAGGGGAAAAAAUGCACAAAUGAUUCUCUUAGUAGUAGCAAUCGAAAUGAGAGCAACCUAAACCGUGAAAACAAGAUUGUGGAAAAGCAAUACAAUGCUGUGAUACCUCGCACGAAUACUGCACCCUAGAUGGCGAAAGUUCGGCAGCCAAAAAAUUACUAGCUUACACUCCGACUUGAGUAGCAUGGGACAUGUGGAAUCCCAUGCGACUCAUUCCAAUUCCUGGAUUUGCUACUAGGAUUGAGUA